rnacentral:lncRNA from 1 species
ACGUGUCCAAGCGCAUCAUCCCCUACCUCCAGUCGCUGGGAAAACUCGCCGGCGCCGGAAACUGGGCAGACCUGUAAUCGGUCUUUUCUCGCUCGAUUCUCAACCAUUUUUCAUGAAAUUUUCACCAAAACUUCACAAAUUACGAGAGGAAGAAGGCUAUACCUUUAAAAACCUCCAAAUCCUUCGAAAUCACGUCGGGAAAUUUCACCAAAACCGGCCACCUUCGAACUAGGGUUUCCCGACGUCCAAAACUUCCAAACAAACGUCCCCGAGCUUCGUGGGAACUUCCUAAAGCUCACUAUGAGCUUGGAUUGUCCUAAAAACGAACCAAUACAAAGUUCAUGAAUAGUGCCAAACUCGGUGCUUGUGAUUUCGACGUGAAAAUGAGGAAAACCUUACUUGAAAAUGGGACCUUUGAGUUCGUAGGGCACUCAUGAACGCGAUGGUGCUAAUCUCCACUUCGAUCCAUGAAAUUUCAAGGGUUUUUGGGUUGGUCCGUACAGUUUCG